rnacentral:tRNA from 1 species
GAGGGUAUAGCUCAAGUGGUAGAGCGCUUGCUUAGCAUGCAUGAGGUCCUGGGUUCAAUCCCCAGUACCUCCU